GCAAUAGAGAAUAGGACGGGAACAAAGGGAAACGAUAAUACAUUGCCUCCAUAAUAUGAGGCACCCAUAAAAUAAGCAAUAUGUCAAGAGGUACGAUGAAAAGAAAGAUAAUGAAGAUGGUGCUAGUCAGAAAAAGAGAGGGGAGUACAUAUACCAAUAGCUCAGAAAGACAUAUCCUCAUAUUAUGAGAUAGUGAGAAGCUAGGAGGAAUCUCUAAUGAAAUCUUCUCUCUGGUCAUCAUGACUGUG
rnacentral:lncRNA from 1 species